GCACAAGCGGUGGAGCAUUGUGGUUUAAUUCGAUGCAACGCGAAGAACCUUACCUGGGCUUGACAUCCCAAGAAUCCCCUGGAAACAGGGGAGUGCCCUUCGGGGAGCUUGGAGACAGGUGCUGCAUGGCUGUCGUCAGCUCGUGUCGUGAGAUGUUGGGUUAAGUCCCGCAACGAGCGCAACCCUUGCCUUUAGUUGCCAUCAUUCAGUUGGGCACUCUAGAGGGACUGCCGGUGUCAAACCGGAGGAAGGUGGGGAUGACGUCAAGUCCUCAUGGCCUUUAUGCCCAGGGCUACACACGUGCUACAAUGGCCGGUACAGACGGACGCAAAGCCGCGAGGCGGAGCAAAUCCGAAAAAGCCGGUCUCAGUUCGGAUUGCAGGCUGCAAUUCGCCUGCAUGAAGUCGGAAUCGCUAGUAAUCGCAGGUCAGCAUACUGCGGUGAAUACGUUCCCGGGCCUU
rnacentral:rRNA from 1 species